rnacentral:rRNA from 1 species
GAUGAACGCUGGCGGCGUGCCUAAUACAUGCAAGUCGAGCGAACGGACGAGAAGCUUGCUUCUCUGAUGUUAGCGGCGGACGGGUGAGUAACACGUGGAUAACCUACCUAUAAGACUGGGAUAACUUCGGGAAACCGUAGCUAAUACCGGAUAAUAUUUUGAACCGCAUGGUUCAAAAGUGAAAGACGGUCUUGCUGUCACUUAUAGAUGGAUCCGCGCUGCAUUAGCUAGUUGGUAAGGUAACGGCUUACCAAGGCAACGAUGCAUAGCCGACCUGAGAGGGUGAUCGGCCACACUGGAACUGACACGGUCCAGACUCCUACGGGAGGCAGCAGUAGGGAAUCUUCCGCAAUGGGCGAAAGCCUGACGGAGCAACGCCGCGUGAGUGAUGAAGGUCUUCGGAUCGUAAAACUCUGUUAUUAGGGAAGAACAUAUGUGUAAGUAACUGUGCACAUCUUGACGGUACCUAAUCAGAAAGCCACGGCUAACUACGUG